rnacentral:rRNA from 1 species
UAACACAUGCAAGUCGAGGGGUAGCAGGGUAGCAAUACCGCUGACGACCGGCGCACGGGUGAGUAACACGUAUCCAACCUUCCCAUAACUCGGGGAUAGCCUUUCGAAAGAAAGAUUAAUACCCGAUAGUACUUAAGAGAGGCAUCUUUUUUAAGUUAAAGAUUUAUUGGUUAUGGAUGGGGAUGCGUUCCAUUAGAUAGUUGGUGAGGUAACGGCUCACCAAGUCUUCGAUGGAUAGGGGUUCUGAGAGGAAGGUCCCCCACAU